rnacentral:rRNA from 1 species
UCCUGGUGGCGAGUGGCGAACGGGUGAGUAAUAUAUCGAACGUGCCCAGUCGUGGGGGAUAACGCAGCGAAAGCUGUGCUAAUACCGCAUACGAUCUACGGAUGAAAGCGGGGGACUCGCAAGGGCCUCGCGCGAUUGGAGCGGCCGAUAUCAGAUUAGCUAGUUGGUGGGGUAAAAGCCCACCAAGGCGACGAUCUGUAGCUGGUCUGAGAGGACGACCAGCCACACUGGAACUGAGACACGGUCCAGACUCCUACGGGAGGCAGCAGUGGGGAAUUUUGGACAAUGAGCGCAAGCCUGAUCCAGCAAUGCCGCGUGCAGGAUGAAGGCCUUCGGGUUGUAAACUGCUUUUGUACGGAACGAAACGGCGAGCUCUAAUAAAGUUUGCUAAUGACGGUACCGUAAGAAUAAGCACCGGCUAACUACGUGCCUGCAGCCGCGGUAAUACGUAGGGUGCGAGCGUUAAUCGGAAUUACUGGGCGUAAAGCGUGCGCAGGCGGUGAUGUAAGACAGAUGUGAAAUCCCCGGGCUCAACCUGGGACCUGCAUUUGUGACUGCAUCGCUAGAGUACGGUAGAGGGGGAUGGAAUUCCGCGUGUAGCAGUGAAAUGCGUAGAUAUACGGAGGAACACCGAUGGCG